AUUGAACGCUGGCGGCAGGCCUAACACAUGCAAGUCGAGCGAGCGGCGGACGGGUGAGUAAUGUAUGGGGACUGCCCGAUAGAGGGGGAUAACUACUGGAAACGGUGGCUAAUACCGCAUACUGUCGGAUAACCCAUAUGGGAUUAGCUAGUAGGUAAGGUAAUGGCUUACCUAGGCGACGAUCCCUAGCUGGUCUGAGAGGAUGAUCAGCAACACUUGGGCUGGGACACGGGCCAGAAUCCUACGGAGGGAGCAGUGGGGAAUAUUGGCAAAUGGGCGAAAACCUGAUGCAGCCAUGCCGCGUGUAUGAAGAAAGCCCUAGGGUUGUAAAGUAAUUUCAGUCGGGAGGCGGUAGCGAAAGAAGAAGCACCGGCUAAAUCCGUGCCAGCAGCCGCGGUAAUAC
rnacentral:rRNA from 1 species